GAUGUAAGGAGGAGCUCCGGGGGUAGCAAGCAUGGUUAAGCAGAGGAGGAGUCAGCGGAGCAGUUAAUUCCAUCCCUGACAACAUGUCUGCAAAGGUUCCAUGAGCUUUGCAUAAGGCCAGGAGUUCACCUAGAUGACUUUGACAGAACUUUCUGGUUCCAAGAUUCUGCCUUCAUUCCUCGUCUGUAUUUCAAUUGGUGGCCCUUACAGUCUACUUUAAGAUGCAAAUGGUUUGCAAAAGUUAACUCAAUGGUGGUGUUAAAAAAAAUAGAUAACUAGAAGAGUUAUAGAAUAUAGUGACUACAAACACUGGGCUUCUGAAUCAGUCAGACAAGAGGAGUCCGGUCUCAACUGUGUGUUCAUUUUCUGACCUCAGUUUGUCCAGACAGAAGGGUGAGUUUAAGUGGCAGACACCAAGGAAAGCACUGUAGAUCUUUACUGAGGACGUCUUUGCCCUGCCUGGAAUGCACUGUGAUUAGGACAUGUGGCUAAAACCUUCACUUCAACUAUGAAAUCUUCAGAAAUGGUAUUUAAAGCUGUGGUCUUCUCCAGUUUGCUGCUAAAUAUAUGGCUAGGCCAUAGACUGAGUACCAUUUUUCAGCACAUUUAGGGAACCAGGCAUUCCAUGCACAACGCCUUUAUAUAAAUGGAAAGAAGAAGUUGCAAAACUGCAUCAAUUUGCGUAAAAGCUGAUCCAUUAAUAACUUUGCCAAUCAGGUUGAGGUCAUGUAUUCAAUUAGUUCCAUUAUAAUGAGGAUUCUUUCUACUGGAAAUCUGAUUCUCACCUAUCCUGAAAAUGAAAUCAGCCAAUCUUGGGAAUUAGUGGUGUCAUGAGCAAUUAGAUUAACAUGUUUGUAUUCUGCAACAAAAACAUUGGGAGAAAGAAUGCUUUGUAAAACAUUACAAUUAUAUUAAAUUUGAUUAAAUUGUAGAACCAAUACCUGAAGUGUUGUUCCUAUCCUUACAAUCCAGUCUAAAAGCUUUACACUGUAGAAGAUAUUUGUAGUUAGAUGAAUAUAUGUUUACUAAUGUCUAGCAGAGAUUUUUUUGUUUGUCUUUCUUCCUUUUUUAUUUUUUGGUAAACAAAAUGUAUUUCUUUCCCUAGGCUCUAGCUGUAAAUUAGCAUUUGAAUUCAAAUGACAGCAUGUUCCUUUUCUUUUCCUGUACAAUUCUUGUCACAAUGUGCUGUUUUUAAUGGCAAAUCAGCUAAUUAAAGACAGUGUGGUGUGGAAAAUGAAUGGAGUUAAUUGAAUUAGUAUUAAAACACU
rnacentral:lncRNA from 1 species